rnacentral:rRNA from 1 species
AACGAACGCUGGCGGCAUGCCUAACACAUGCAAGUCGAACGGGCCCUUCGGGGCUAGUGGCGCACGGGUGCGUAACGCGUGGGAAUCUGCCCUUAGGUUCGGAAUAACUCAGGGAAACUUGAGCUAAUACCGUAUAAUGACUUCGGUCCAAAGAUUUAUCGCCUAGGGAUGAGCCCGCGUAGGAUUAGCUUGUUGGUGAGGUAAAGGCUCACCAAGGCGACGAUCCUUAGCUGGCUGAGAGGAUGAUCAGCCACACUGGGACUGAGACACGGCCCAGACUCCUACGGGAGGCAGCAGUGGGGAAUAUUGGACAAUGGCGAAAGCCUGAUCCAGCAAUGCCGCGUGAGUGAUGAAGGCCUUAGGGUUGUAAAGCUCUUUUACCCGGGAAGAUAAUGACUGUACCGGGAGAAUAAGCUCCGCUAACUCCGUGCCAGCCGCCGCCGUAAU